rnacentral:rRNA from 1 species
GACGAACGCUGGCGGCGUGCUUAACACAUGCAAGUCGAACGCUGAAGCUUGGUGCUUGCACUCGGUGGAUGAGUGGCGAACGGGGGAGUAAUACGUGAGUAACCUGCACUUGACUCUGGGUUGAGCCAGGGCAACUGGGUCUCAUACUGGGUACGACAUGCCACUGCAUGGUGGUGUGUGGAAAGGGUUUUUCUGGUUUUGGAUGGGCUCACGGCCUAUCAGCUUGUUGGGGGGGUAAUGGCCUACCAAGGCGACGACGCGUAGCCGGCCUGAGAGGGUGACCUGCCACGCUGGGACGGAGAUGCGACCCAGACUCCUACCGUACGCAAGGGUGGAGAAGGGUGUACAAGAGGCUGGAGCCAGGUGUAGCGACGCCGUGCGGGGUAAGAGGGGAUGGGGGUUGUGAACCUCUGUCAUCUCGGAAGAAGCGAGAGUGACGGUACGGGCAGAAGAAGCGCCGGCUAACUACGUG